CUUCCUUACCAGAUCUGUUUGCUUUUUUUGGAGUCCCAGUGGAUGGCUGGUCCCUCACCUAUUGUGGAUCUCCUGUUGCCAGUCUUCCCCCUCCAGUAGCCUCUCUCAUCUCCUCCCACGGGACCUGGUUGUGUCUCUGUCUUUUUUUGGAGCUACAGAAACCCUACAAUUUCCUUUCCGAGACUGCCAUCUGCUGACUGGAGGACCUUCCUGCCAUUUCUGUCAACUUGAGGCCUUCUUCACCUUCCAAUAAAACCUUUAAAUCUUGA